rnacentral:rRNA from 1 species
AGUUUGAUCCUGGCUCAGGAUGAACGCUAGCUACAGGCUUAACACAUGCAAGUCGAGGGGCAGCAUUUUAGUUUGCUUGCAAACUGAAGAUGGCGACCGGCGCACGGGUGAGUAACACGUAUCCAACCUGCCGAUAACUCCGGGAUAGCCUUUCGAAAGAAAGAUUAAUACCGGAUAGUAUACGAAUAUCGCAUGAUAUUUUUAUUAAAGAAUUUCGGUUAUCGAUGGGGAUGCGUUCCAUUAGUUUGUUGGCGGGGUAACGGCCCACCAAGACUACGAUGGAUAGGGGUUCUGAGAGGAAGGUCCCCCACAUUGGAACUGAGACACGGUCCAAACUCCUACGGGAGGCAGCAGUGAGGAAUAUUGGUCAAUGGGCGCGAGCCUGAACCAGCCAAGUAGCGUGAAGGAUGAAGGCUCUAUGGGUCGUAAACUUCUUUUAUUAUGGGAAUAAAGUUUUCCACGUGUGGAAUUUUGUAUGUACCAUAUGAAUAAGGAUCGGCUAACUCCGUGCCAGCAGCCGCGGUAAUACGGAGGAUCCGAGCGUUAUCCGGAUUUAUUGGGUUUAAAGGGAGCGUAGGUGGAUUGUUAAGUCAGUUGUGAAAGUUUGCGGCUCAACCGUAAAAUUGCAGUUGAAGCUGGCAGUCUUGAGUACAGUAGAGGUGGGCGGAAUUCGUGGUGUAGCGGUGAAAUGCUUAGAUAUCACGAAGAACUCCGAUUGCGAAGGCAGCUCACUAGACUGUCACUGACACUGAUGCUCGAAAGUGUGGGUAUCAAACAGGAUUAGAUACCCUGGUAGUCCACACAGUAAACGAUGAAUACUCGCUGUUUGCGAUAUACAGUAAGCGGCCAAGCGAAAGCAUUAAGUAUUCCACCUGGGGAGUACGCCGGCAACGGUGAAACUCAAAGGAAUUGACGGGGGCCCGCACAAGCGGAGGAACAUGUGGUUUAAUUCGAUGAUACGCGAGGAACCUUACCCGGGCUUAAAUUGCAACAGAAUAUAUUGGAAACAGUAUAGCCGUAAGGCUGUUGUGAAGGUGCUGCAUGGUUGUCGUCAGCUCGUGCCGUGAGGUGUCGGCUUAAGUGCCAUAACGAGCGCAACCCUUAUCUUUAGUUACUAACAGGUGAUGCUGAGGACUCUAGAGAGACUGCCGUCGUAAGAUGUGAGGAAGGUGG